CAUCUCUCUCGGCAAACUAUCUCUCAAAGCUCUCUGCCAAAAUUUUCCUUUCCCCACAAAGUUUUUUUUGCUGAAUCUCUCCGCAAUCAAACUACCUUUGCUUCCCUAUUGAAGGUAAGAACUAUAUAUUAGUUGGCAUGGUUCACAAGCCCAAUUAAUUAUAAUAGAUGCAGAGCUAAUCAAAGAAUUACUAACCAACAGAGAAGGCGCUUACCAGAAAAUGGAUAUGGAAGGCAUUGCAAAGAAAUUAUCAAAUUAAUAGGUGAGCCGCUUAUAACAAAUGAGGGGAAAAAAUGGGCAAAAGUACACAAACUGGCUAACCACUCAUUCCUUGCAGAGAGCCUAAAGAGCAAGGUACCAGAAAUGAUUGCUAGUGUCGAGG